CUCUCUGUCUCCUGUUUCCUCUCACCCUCUUCCUCUUUCAGUCCCUAUCUCCAGCUCCUUUGUUUUCUCUACAACUGUUCAAACUCUCUCGCUUGCCUUUUGUCCUUUUCCCUUUCAUUUCCUGCCUCCUCUGCCCCACCAUUGCCCACAGGACAGACUACCUGGUUGCUAUGGGGUUGGUGCCUGCUCUCAUGAGACAAGGCAGGACCAUCUCACUAAAGCCCCGGCUCCAUUUGAAGGCAUGGUCUCAUAUGGCCCUUGCCAAGACCACUAACUGGAAGUCUGCAUGGCCCAUUUCUCUAUCAUCACGUGCUUCGGCGACAGACGUGCCGCUGGGCAACUCUGGGCACUGAAACCUCCAUCUGAAUCAUACUUCUACUGCUGUUGACAGUCCUCAGGCUUCCCUCGGGAGAUCAGAACCAUGGAUGGACAACGGACACCACCUCCUCUUGCCCCAAAUGACUCUGACUCCCAAGGGCCUUCCUAGAAAAUGCCCUCAUUCAACAACUCAGUCCACACAGAUAGGUUUCUGUCCAGGGGUCUUCUUAGAGGCUAAGAAGGAGCCAGCCAGAGCAGCCACAGGGAAAAGAGAGAAACAGGCACAGACAAUGCAGGGGACCACCAUUCCCCCUCAUAAACUAUCAGUGGGACUGGUCUUCUGCAUCACCUUUUAGCUCCUGAGAAAUGGGUCUGCCGGCUCACUGGAGACAAACUGGGCCUGAUUCCAAAUUACCCUGUAGUGCCAUUUGUAAGAGUCUUAGCUUUGCAACUGGCUUUUCAUGACAUCUCCCCUCAAGUAGCCUACAAAUCCCCUAAGAAAGAUGCUGUUCUU
rnacentral:lncRNA from 1 species